rnacentral:lncRNA from 1 species
UUAAAUCUACGGAUUUAAUUUAGAAUUUAUUCUAGCUAAGAAAGGAAGCAGAUAUCGAGUAGUUUCAUAAAAACGCGAUAUUAACAAAACCCAGUAGUUGGAUUUUUUUAAAAAAAAAAAAUGCAAUACAAUAUUACAGAUAUAGAAAUUCCAAGACAAGAAUUAUUGCUUCUGUUUAUACUUCACUUUACAAACCCCUAUUUUUCUAUCUAUCUACCAACACUUAAAAUAAAAAAAGGAAAUAGUGUAUGUGUGUGAAAGAAAUCUGCAGCUAUCCCUUAAGCGCAUGCUCAGCCAUAUUUUUGACUCCAGCUCCACGCCUGUGUAAUAUUCUUCUUUGACUCCAGCUCCAGCAGCAUAUUUGCAAAAUUUUCACACCCGAACACCUUCAUUUGGUUUCAGAUUUCAGCAGCUAUUAAUCCUCAUCUCAUACCCAUUCCACACUUAAACGUUUUCAUCAUUCUCUGC